UACAGCGUGGUGUAGUGGUUUGAGUGCUGGACUACAACUCUGGAGACCAGAGUUCAAAUCCUUGCUCUGCCA